AUUUCCUGAUCGUCACGCCGGGUUCCCUGCUCGGCACUUUCCGUGUUUUCACGGCACAGCUCACGGUCAUCAUUGAGGGAAGUGAGGCUCAGAGAGCCCACCUCCCAGAGAUGCGGCGGGAACGUGCUGGUGACGGCAGGGCCUCUGUGACUGGAGAUGGCUGCAGAGCCGGGAGGACGUGCUUGUUCCAGCAAAAGGCUUCGGGGAGUAGGCUCUGGGUCAAGUGGGCCUGGGUGCAAAGAAGCUUUGUGUCUCCGGUGCUGUGCGGCCUCAGGCAAGUCGCUUCCCCUCUCUGAGCCCUGGUUUCCUCUGUAAAAUGUGGGCGCUACCAACAGAACCUGCUCGGAGGACCGACACCUCGGUUAAGGAGGUGAUCGGUGCGGCCCACGGGCCAACGCUUAGUACCCGCUGGUGGGGGUGUUUACUGUCCCACCAGGUAGCCAAGAACUUGGCAUAAAGCCUGGGACAUCCGAGGCCCAGGGCGUGUGUCCAGAGCCUCUGGGGAUAAGCACCCGUGUUAGGGACCCUCCCUUGCCCUUCACCUCCGAGGGAAGGGGCUCUGCACUCGGCGCCCACACAGCCCCACGCUUGUGUUCACGGCGCCUCGGGCAGCCUGAGCGCCCCGGAGGGAGUCAGAGAGAGCUGACCGGCCGCGGGAGCAGGGAGGUGGCCACAGGCCCCGGAGGCCGGCCGUGAGGGAAGGAGGGGGCUCCCCACAGGCGCUGGAGGCAGCCGGCGGGCUUCCUGGAGGAGGGGGCCCCCAUCAUCACCAGCCUGCGUGUCAGACCCCUUCCUCUCCGAGCUGAGGCCUGUCUUCCGGGGGCUGCGCCCUCCCCGCGCCCCUGCCCCCUGCCCGGCUGCUGCCCCCGCUGCCCCCGGGAAGCCUCUGGACGCCUCAUCCCCGGGGCCUGAGGAGUAGGCCGGGCGCCCUCUCCGGACUGAGGGCUCUGCUGCCCCCCGGUGGCAGGACUGAGGAGGACGCUGGCCGCUGGGGGAAACCUGCUCAGAUGCAGCAAUUACGGCUGCAGGACACUGGACUGGUUUCAGAACCCGAGUCAGGUUCCAGCUGCCGCUGUGACCUUGGACACGUCGUGUCACCUCUCGGAGCCUGAGUCCUCCUGCCCAACGCUGACCAACCAGGGUGGUUGCGAGGAUUGAGUGACCUCACGCCAGGUGACCUCACGCCAGGUGCACAGGCCGCUCUGAGACCACCGUCACCGUCACCGCCGGGGCACCUGUGCCAUCCCCCCAGCACUGCCUCCCCUUCGAACAAAUGCUUUUUGCAAACUCCCUUUUCACGGUGUCCCCUCCUUGAA